rnacentral:rRNA from 1 species
CCUACGGGGGGCAGCAGUGGGGAAUAUUGGGCAAUGGGCGCAAGCCUGACCCAGCAACGCCGCGUGAAGGAAGAAGGCUUUCGGGUUGUAAACUUCUUUUCUCAGGGACGAAGAAAGUGACGGUACCUGAGGAAUAAGCCACGGCUAACUACGUGCCAGCAGCCGCGGUAAGACGUAGGUGGCAAGCGUUAUCCGGAUUUACUGGGUGUAAAGGGAGUGUAGGCGGGAAAGCAAGUCAGAUGUGAAAACCAUGGGCUCAACCUGUGGCCUGCAUUUGAAACUGUUUUUCUGGAGUACUGGAGAGGCAGACGGAAUUCCUAGUGUAGCGGUGAAAUGCGUAGAUAUUAGGAGGAACACCAGUGGCGAAGGCGGUCUGCUGGACAGCAACUGACGCUGAGGCGCGAAAGCGUGGGGAGCAAACAGGAUUAGAUACCCGAGUAGUC